rnacentral:rRNA from 1 species
AUUGAACGCUGGCGGCAUGCUUUACACAUGCAGGUCGAACGGUAACAGGUUAAGCUGACGAGUGGCGAACGGGUGAGUAAUGCAUCGGAACGUGCCCGGUCGUGGGGGAUAACGCAGCGAAAGCUGCGCUAAUACCGCAUACGAUCUAAGGAUGAAAGCGGGGGACUGUAAGGCCUCGCGCGAUCGGAGCGGCCGAUGUCAGAUUAGGUAGUUGGUGGGGUAAAGGCUCACCAAGCCAACGAUCUGUAGCUGGUCUGAGAGGACGACCAGCCACACUGGGACUGAGACACGGCCCAGACUCCUACGGGAGGCAGCAGUGGGGGAUUUUGGACAAUGGGCGAAAGCCUGAUCCAGCAAUGCCGCGUGCAGGAAGAAGGCCUUCGGGUUGUAAACUGCUUUUGUACGGAGCGAAAAGGUCUCCUCUAAUACAGGGGGCUCAUGACGGUACCGUAAGAAUAAGCACCGGCUAACUACGUGCCAGCCGCCGCCGUAA